GAUUUCAAUUAAUCUAUCAUUUCAACUUUUUUUCUUAACAGUUUCAUUCGAAAACACCGAAUUUGUCAAAUGAAAAAUGUAUUUCUCUAUUUUCAUUGUUAUGUAUCUAGCAAUUAGUUUUUCGAACGGAUUUCUUUUUAAAAACCCACCUUUACAGGAGGACGGAAGUUUGAAUGACGAAAGUGAGAAUAUAAUGAAAAAUUUUUUUGAAGUAAAUGAACAACUUGAAUGUGUAACCUAUAGAGUAUUUACACGAUUAUUAAAAAGUUUUCAAUGGCUACAUGGUAUGAAAGAUAGUGAUAUCGAAAAAUUAUUCACGGAUGAAGUCAAUAGCAAAAAUAGAUCACUGACUGUAUAUAAAUUUUUGAAACUAACGACGGAGUGUAUCAAAAUAAUUGAGUCUCAGUAUACGUUGCGUUAUAAUAAUUCUCUCAAUGAAGAAAAUAAGAUGACAUUAAAUGAAUUAAAAAAAGCUCUUGUAGUAGAAAAACUCGGUCUCACAGAAGAAGUUGUUACUACUUUAAUAACCGAUUAUACAUUUAAAAACGAACAAGAUAUCAGCAUGGAAGAAUUUAGAAAAACAUUUGUGUUAAUAACGUAUAACCAAAUCUAUACCAUACCAAUUGAAGAGACAUUAAAAGAAAUAAGAGGAAUAAUUUAACUACAAAUAUAUUUAGAAUUUUAAUACAAAUUAUUACACUAUAAAUGUUUUCUAAAUUAUUUGAUAGUCUAAAAUAUUUAAAGAAUACAUCAUAAAACAAGAUAUUAUUUUACCAGACUAUUUAAAGGAAAAAUAAAAAAAGUCAAAAAUGUGUUUUAAUUUAAAAUUUUAAAUAUCAUUUUCAUUUGUGAUUCGAAAUAUUUUUUUCUUCAAAUACUAAACAAUAUGUGCCCAUUAAAUUAUAUCAUCUAAUAAAACUAAAAAAUAUUAGCAAUUUGUAUUAUUUUUGAACUCUAGUCAUUGUGGUGAUGGUAUUGAAGGGCGGGUAGAAAGUGCGUCCUAGUAGUCAAUAUUUUAUGAAAGCUAAGUUAUCAUGUAAAAAAUACAUUAUUUCAACUCUUUUUCUGGAAACGGACCAAACAUCCGUUCAAGAGUAUUGUUUUGGAAAACCCUCUUAUAAUAUUUUUAUUUUACAUAAAUUCUAUCAUUUGAACUACAGAAAAAUAUGAUAUCUGUGUUUAUUUUGAAUAACAUAUUUUAGAAUUAAAGUAUCAUAUUAUAAAUACACAAUUUUAAAAAAUUACAUAAAAAUAAUUGAAUAAUAACACGAAAAACUGUAAAAUAUAAUAAAUUGUUUAUAAUUUUAUAAAUAAGGUAAUUCAAUAUAUAAUACAUAAGUACAAUUAAAAUUAUUGAUAUCUAAUGGGUUAUAGAUAAUUUAUAAGUAAAAUCAAGUAAAUAGGAGAGUAUUUGCUUAAAAGUUUAAGCCGAACUAUUAGAUCAUUAGUAUAUAAAAAUUAACUGAAACUAAUUAAUGAAACUAAUUGAUAUAAUGUAUUUAAACUAGAAUUUUAAAUGCGUUGUAAUCAUUUAGUACAUGUUUUAAUUUAUCCGAUAUUUAUCAUUUAUUAACUACAAAGCGGAAAACAAUAUUUCAUUAUUAAGAACUGCCAUAAAAGAAGAAAUCAAUUUUUUUUAUAUAAUUAAAGUAUCAAAAAAUGAUUCCAACGUUUUUGGUGUCAACAGUAGUUGUGUUAAGUUUUGACAUCUCCACAAAUUACAUAUCCGUGACUUUUUAGUAAUUUUUUUUGAGGUCUUUUGAGUUUAAUAUUUUUAAUAUAGUUUUAAUUCUAAAUAAUAUAGUUACAAGUGAUCAAUUUUUAUAAUUUAUUGAAGCGUCGAAAAAUGUUUCCAAUACUUUGAAUGACGACAGUAAUCUCAUUUCCUGAGUUGUAUUAUAAACCACGAUACUAAUAAUAAAUCAUUGAGGUAAAUAAGAUUAAAAGUGAAAAAACAUGUGACGUCGUACAUUAAUAGCUAAUAUAAUUAAUGAUUUUCUUAUUUUUUUAGUUGUAUAGAAAAUUUAUUAUAACUAUUUAUUGUUAAAUGUAGUAGAAAUUUUAAAAAAUCCGUAUGCAAAACGUCAAGGCCUAUUAAUUUAUAGACUUCAAUUUAAUUAUUCAUUGUUGACUGAAAUAAAAGAAAACAAGUUUUUACUAGUAUUUUUUGCGAAAUAAUGACAAUGAAAUAGUUAUAAGAAGACUUGAGUUCUGUAACUAUAGUCAACAAUCUUAUUUGAAAACACCGAGUUGUCAAACCAAAAAUGCAUUUCUUCAUUUUCAUUGUUAUGUAUACAGCCAUUAGUAUUUCAAAUGGACUUAUUUCCUCUUCUAAUACUUUAAACGAGAAAAUCCGUUCUGUGGAAAGAUAGAUCGAGCAUCAAAAAUUUAUGAAAAUAGUUAAUAAUGUAUAUAUAAAAGUGUCAGUAUUUCCAGAACACUUUUAAAAGUUGUUAUUUAAAAUCCUCCUCUGUGGGCAGAUAAAGGUCAAAUUUAUAAAAAAAAAUAUAUCAAAUAAUAGUACGAAAAAUUUAAUGACGAAAGCAAUUCCAUUUGGACAGAUUUGUUUAAAUUAUUUAAAAAAAAUAAUGAAGGCAUAGAUUAUAAUACAUUUAAACUAUUUACGAAUUUUUUAACAUGGAUAAAUCCUAUAACAGAGAGUGAAAUUAAACAAAUUUUCUUGGAUGAAGUUAAAGAUCAAAAACGAUUAAUGAAUUUGGGUCAAUUUUUGAAACAAAUUAUGAAGUGUGUCAAACUAAAUGAGUCUCAAAUUAAAUCGCAUUAUGAAAGUUUUCUCAAUGAUGAAGGAAAGAUGACUCUAAUCGAAUUGUGUGAUGCUUUUCAAAAAUUAAAUCUCCCCUUUACAUAUGAAGAUAGUAAUGAAAUAAAGACUAAUUUUACAAUUAAAGACACACAAGAUAUCAGCUUGAAAGAAUUCAGAAUCAUAUACUUGUUGAGAGUUUCUAAAAAAUAUGAAAAUAAAAGUAAUUUAUAAACAUUAAUAUUAUUGAAUAAAAUGAAUCAAACAAAAAUUUGUCCUUUUUCUCUAUGAUUAAACUUAUCUGUUAAAAUAUAUAAAUGUUAAUAACAUAAACUGUUGAAGUUUUAUAAAUAAUAAAUAAUAA